AUACAAAGGCCUGUCAGGGGAGAAAUCCCGAGCCACCUGUGACAUCAAGAUCAAGACCAGCUGAUCACCCGGAGCCAUCACUCAGCCGGGCACCAAAUCUUCCCUUUUUCCCGCGUUUCCAGGCCGAGGAAGUGCAAUAGAGAGUGUGGCCUGAUGAAGGAAGGUCUGAAGGUGACGUGAUGGAGCGGAGCAGCACGUGACGACGCCCAGACUUUGGCAGCAGUGGCAAUGGCUCCCCGAGGACCUGACACCAAGCCGAAGUCCCCUAAGGAAGAUGCACCACAGAAGCACUCUCAAGGUGAACAAGGAAGGCAACCAUCUGCCGUUGCAAGCUGUGAUUUUGGUGUGCAGUUAACACUGAAGUGUCACACAGCAGGCUGGACCACAGAAUUAUUGACAAGAUUAAGAAGUAUGGUCACGACUUCCUUGUGAUGGUGUCAGAAUACACAGCAACACACGAGAACCGCUCGAUACUGUGGAGCCUGCUGGGCGGGAACUGCUCCAUCUAAUAACACUGCUCAAGAAGCAAGAGAGGUAUGCCCAAUGGGCACUGCCUGACAGUCUGGACAGCACUUAAGUAAUACCUCUGUUGGACAGCUAUUUCCACAGAACCACUUGACUAAGAACAAGCUCAGGAACAAGAUCAAGUACAGAAGUUAAGAAUACAUUUAAGCAUUUCUGUUCAUCCAGAAAGAUUAACACUUGCUGAAAGAGGUCAAGGAAGGCUGCCACUCUUUAACAAAGGAUAUUUACUCAAAAUACGGUGAGUGAUGAAUACGUUGGUAUACGUAAUUCAUAAAAGGCAACUUAAAUGCCACCACUGGCACUGACAGAGAUGGCCAUGAGUUGUUUUGGUCCCCAUGGCUCUGGUACCUGGAACACCAACACCUCUCUCCUUCUGAAUUAUGCAAGAUCCGGGAGAUUGAGAACUGCAGGUUCUUGAUACCAGAGCUGCAAUGCUGAAUUGCGUCAA